AUUGAACGCUGGCGGCAGGCUUAACACAUGCAAGUCGAGCGGGGUGAUGGUGCUUGCACUAUCACUUAGCGGCGGACGGGUGAGUAAUGCUUAGGAAUCUGCCUAUUAGUGGGGGAAAACAUCUCGAAAGGGAUGCUAAUACCGCAUACGUCCUACGGGAGAAAGCAGGGGAUCCCUUGUGACCUUGCGCUAAUAGAUGAGCCUAAGUCGGCUUAGCUAGUUGGUGGGGUAAAGGCCUACCAAGGCGACGAUCUGUAGCGGUUCUGAGAGGAGGAUCCGCCACACUGGUACGGGGACACGGCCCAGGCUCCUACGGGAGGCAGCAGUAGGGAAUAAUUGACAAUGGUGGGAACCCUGAUCCAGCCAUGCCGCGUGUGUGAAGAAGGCCUUAUGGUUGUAAAGCACUUUAAGCGAGGAGGAGGCUCUUUUGGUUAAUACCCAAGAUGAGUGGACGUUACUCGCAGAAUAAGCACCGGCUAACUCUGUGCCAGCCGCCGCAGUAA
rnacentral:rRNA from 1 species